rnacentral:rRNA from 1 species
AUUCCAGCUCCAGUAGCGUAUAUUAAAGUUGUUGCAGUUAAAAAGCUCGUAGUUGGAUUUCUGGCCUGACGAAACUGACCCGCCGCGGUUACGUGUGUGAGUGUCGGGCUUCGUCUGCCAUCCUUCCAGAAAACGUUUCUACCCUUCACUGGGUUGGAUUCGCGAUCUGGAACUUUUACUUUGAAGAAAUUAGAGUGUUCAAAGCAGGCUUGCGCUGUGAAUACAUUAGCAUGGAAUAAUAAGAUAGGACCUUGGUUCUAUUUUGUUGGUUUCUAGAGCUGAGGUAAUGAUUAAUAGGGAUAGUUGGGGGCAUUCGUAUUUAACUGUCAGAGGUGAAAUUCUCAGACCAGCGGGAGACGAACCACUGCGAAAGCAUUUGCCAGGGAUGUUUUCAUUA